AGCAGCCGCGGUAAUUCCAGCUCCAAUAGCGUAUAUUAAAGUUGUUGCAGUUAAAAAGCUCGUAGUUGAAUUUCGGGGUCAGUAGAUUGGUCGUGCCACUGGUAUGCACUGGUCUUACUAGCUCCUCCUUCCUGAUGAACCGUAAUGCCAUUAAUUUGGUGUUGCGGGGAGACUGGACUGUUACUUUGAAAAAAUUAGAGUGUUUAAAGCAGGCUAACGUUUGAAUACAUUAGCAUGGAAUAAUGAAAUAGGACGUUCGAUCUUAUUUUGUUGGUUUCUAAGAUUGACGUAAUGAUUAAUAGGGAUAGUUGGGGGCAUUAGUAUUCAAUUGUCAGAGGUGAAAUUCUUGGAUUUAUUGAAGACUAACUACUGCGAAAGCAUUUGCCAAGGAUGUUUUCAUUAAUCAAGAACGAAAGUUAGGGGAUCGAAGACGAUCAGAUACCGUCGUAGUCUUAACCAUAAACUAUGCCGGCUAGGGAUCGGAUGAUGUUUAAUUUUUAAUGACUCAUUCGGCGCCUUA
rnacentral:rRNA from 1 species